UGCAAAGUCAGUUUUGAAUGUGGUACUUAAGGAAUGUUAGGGUAAUAUUUUGACAGAAAGAUGACAGCAUUCCUGAUAGCAAAAGCAGGAAGGUAUCCACCAAAAGAAGAAAGUUCACAAAGUGAUGGGAACAUUUCACAUGGAUAAAAGAAGCAACUUGAAAAAGUUCCCAGUGGCCAAGACUGAGAUAAUUAGAGUAAAAUAAUAAUGAAAUGACUAGAUUUUUCACUCAUGUAAUAAAAUAAAUGCCCUUGAGUUUAU
rnacentral:lncRNA from 1 species